AUUGAACGCUGGCGGCAGGCCUAACACAUGCAAGUCGAGCGGAUGAGAAGAGCUUGCUCUUCGAUUCAGCGGCGGACGGGUGAGUAAUGCUUAGGAAUCUGCCUGGUAGUGGGGGACAACGUCUCGAAAGGGACGCUAAUACCGCAUACGUCCUACGGGAGAAAGCAGGGGACCUUCGGGCCUUGCGCUAUCAGAUGAGCCUAGGUCGGAUUAGCUUGUUGGUGAGGUAAUGGCUCACCAAGGCGACGAUCCGUAACUGGUCUGAGAGGAUGAUCAGUCACACUGGAACUGAGACACGGUCCAGACUCCUACGGGAGGCAGCAGUGGGGAAUAUUGGACAAUGGGCGAAAGCCUGAUCCAGCCAUGCCGCGUGUGUGAAGAAGGUCUUCGGAUUGUAAAGCACUUUAAGUUGGGAGGAAGGGCAGUCAGCGAAUACCUGGUUGUUUUGACGUUACCGACAGAAUAAGCUCCGGCUAACUCUGUGCCAGCAGCCGCAGUAACAC
rnacentral:rRNA from 1 species